UCAGAAACCUCUACAGAAAAUCUGUCAGUGCUUUUAAUCCCAACCCAUAAUGCAGUGGUAAAUCAUGGCAGUACUUCUAUCAGGAAAUCCCCCAUCCUGAGACCGGCUCUCCAGGCGACGCCUCCCUCGUCCACUGACUCCAGGUACUGCAGUGCAGGGAAGGCCGGGGUGGGAGUGAAUUCCUCUAUAGGAGUCUGAGCUGGAGACGCCAUCAGCACCGUCUUCUCCUUGAUUAUAUAGUCACUAGCAGAGAGAAGACAGAGAGAUGACACAAGACAGAAAUUAAAGACAAGGAGGACAUGCACUGUAAAUCCCAUCUGCAGUCACCCUCUGCCUCAAUCACCGGAGAUUAUGGGUAGAAAGUAAAGUUUUAAAAUCCAUAAA